rnacentral:rRNA from 1 species
GACGAACGCUGGCGGCGUGCUUAACACAUGCAAGUCGAACGGAAAGGCCCUGCUUUUGUGGGGUGCUCGAGUGGCGAACGGGUGAGUAACACGUGAGUAACCUGCCCUUGACUUUGGGAUAACUUCAGGAAACUGGGGCUAAUACCGGAUAGGAGCUCCUGCUGCAUGGUGGGGGUUGGAAAGUUUCGGCGGUUGGGGAUGGACUCGCGGCUUAUCAGCUUGUUGGUGGGGUAGUGGCUUACCAAGGCUUUGACGGGUAGCCGGCCUGAGAGGGUGACCGGCCACAUGGGGACUGAGAUACGGCCCAGACGCCUACGGGAGGCAGCAGUGGGGAAUAUUGCACAAUGGGCGGAAGCCUGAUGCAGCAACGCCGCGUGCGGGAUGACGGCCUUCGGGGUGUAAACCGCUUUCGCCUGUGACGAAGCGUGAGUGACGGUAAUGGGUAAAGAAGCACCGGCUAACUACGUG